UUGAGUUUGAUGAUGGCUCUGAAUGAACGCUGUCCAAAUGCUUGACACAUGCUAAUCGAACGUCUAAUUUAAAAAGGGUAAUUAUAUUUUUAUUUUUAUUAGAAGUGGUGUACAGGUGAGUAUAUGAUAUUUUGGCUACCUUAAAGUAAGGGAAAAAAUACCUUAUAAGGAAAGGAGUUAUUACUCCGCUUUAAGAUGACAAUAAAUAUUGCGGAUAGGUAGUAAUUAAGGUAAUGGCUUAAUUAGCCUAAAAUUCCGUAGUCGAGGCUGAGAGGUCGAUCGACCACAUUGGGUCUGAAAAAACCCCAAUACGUAUAGUACAGCAGUGAGGAAUAUUGGUCAAUAGCCUAACGGCUGAACCAGCAACUUGGAAGAAUGUAUAGCUUCGGCUAGCUUUAUUAGGUAUAAAUAUACAAUUUGUUUAUUUAUAUUGCUAUAUUAUAUAGACGAUAAUAAAGUAUCGACUUUGUCGAAUAAAGUUCUAGAUAAAAUAAUGAUUAUGACAAAUUUUAUCUAUGUGUCUUGACCAAAUUACGUGCCAGCAGUCGCGGUAAUACGUAAAAGACUAGUGUUAUUCAUCUUUAAUAGGUUUAAAGGGUACCUAGACGGUAUAAUUAGUCCAAAAUAGGAUACGAUUUUACUAGAGUUAUAUAGGAGGAGGUGAGUAUUCAUGCAGUAGAGAUGAAAUUCGUUGAUAGUAUGAAGACUGAUAAAGGCGAAGGCGACCUUUUAUCUAAUAACUGACGUUGAGGGACGAAGGCUCGGGGAACAAACAGGAUUAGAUACCCUAGUAGUCCAAGCAGAGAAUUAUGAAUGUCAUAGACUAGAUAGCAAUUUAGUUUAUAAAUGAAAGUGUAAGCAUUCCACCUCAAGAGUAAUGUGGCAACGCAGGAACUGUAAACAUUAGACCGUUUCUGAAACCAGUAGUGAAGUAUGUUAUUUAAUUCGUUAAUCCUCGAAAAACCUUACCACAAUUUGAAUAUUAUAUUUUUAUUUAAAUAAUACUACAAGCGUUGCACGGCUGUCUUCAGUUAAUGUCGUGAGAUUUUGGUUAACUCCAUAAAAUUAACGGAAACCCUUGCUUUAUUUACAAAUUUUAUGAUAAGGCAGUCCACUAGAAUAACGGAUAAGAUAACAGGGAUCAAGACAAGUCAUCAUGGCCUAAAUAUUGUGGGCAAUAGACGUGCCACAUAUUCCUAUACAAAGAGAUGCGAAAAUGUGAAUUUAAGCUAAUCUCAUAAAGUAGGAUAUAAUAAGGAUUGUAGUCUGAAACUCGACUACAUGAAUAAGGAAUUACUAGUAAUCGUGAAUCACCACGUCACGGUGGAUUUAAUCUCAGAUAGGUACUAACUACUCGUCAGGCGCUGAAAGAAGUAUGUGCAAUAAGUUUGGUCUGCUAUUAUAUAUAUAUUUUAAAUAAAUAGAUUUAGAUAUUUUAAUAGAAGGCUUUCGUAUGCGUGACUUUGAUUGGUGUUAAGUCGAAAUACGGUUCAUGUAGGGGAACUUGCAUGGGACUAAUUAAUAUUAA
rnacentral:rRNA from 1 species